UGACGACACAUGUUUUGAUGGAAAAUCGUUGUUUACACGUGGGAAUAGCCUACCUUGUUGUGUAUACCGUGGUCUCAGGUGAAACCCAAUGAAACAACUUGCCCAUCUCAGUAGCCCUACGUCCCUUUCCCAUCAUCCCAUCCCGCCGAAGAGGAUUUCUCUAUAUUUUCAGAAUUCGACGAAUUUCAGGGUGGAUGAGGGUGUUUGAUUGUACAUUAAAACCCCUAAAGUACGACCCUGUGCCUAACUGAAUGCCGUCAGCUUCAGCAGCCCCAAAUAUCAGCAAAAUCUCCGGGGUAAUUUGGGGUAACGGACUAUUCGGGGUACUUGACCAUUCGGGGUGAUGGUUUUCGGGGUAAUGGUAUUCGGGGAAAUGUUAUAGGAUCAAGAGUGAGCCUAGCCGAAUCACCGUACCAAUAUGAAGAGACUGGAUCUCCCAGGCAUCCAAUCUCGCACUCUCCAGGCGAUUCCAGCAUCCAUCCCAGUCAUCAUCAUCAUCAUGAUCAUUAUCAUCAUCAGUGCCGUAGGAGUGAUAAGGAAAGCCAGAUAAAAGCGGCGAGAACCGCUCUGAGCAUCAGCGAGGUAAACCAUCGCAGCGGGAGACCAGCGGACCGAUAGCCCUGAAGAGUUGAACUACGACCAGUCCAAUUCUACCAGGUCACCAAAGCACACGGGAGUGGACCCACGGCCGGUGAAUCCCGAGAAAGCUGUUAGAACAGCUAGAACGCCCCGCUUGAAAACGUUUGUGCAUGGACAUGGAACCUUUUGUGUGGCUGUGAAACAAAUCCUAUCGAUGUUGGGGACAGGAACCGGCUGAGCUAUCCACCCAAGGUAUUGGACCUUCCCCAUCAGCAGCUAUAAACGACGCUUCAAUGAUGAAUAAUUAAGUGUAAAGGGAAAGGUAGACCAAAAGCACUAGCUAUUAUACUUCCAGUUUCGUCGUGGAUUGUUGAUAUGAAAAUUAAAUUAGGCAGAAAAUAAUAAUUUUUAAUGCACAGUAUACUUUAUUGGACAUGUGUUAUACAAUACAGUGACGAAUAAGUUAUAUAUGAUUAACAAUAGAAACCAUUUUCUAAUAACAA